rnacentral:lncRNA from 1 species
CCCAGUGAAUAUAUUGCCACCCUAUUUGAGCUCAGUGCCCUCAUAGUGUAAUGGCACCAGCAGAUCUGCCUGUGCAUGGACUUCCUGUACUACCCAUUCCUGAGGGGUGAUGCUUCUGCAGGGCCUGUGACCUUGUGCACAACUUUAGACACCAUCAUCCUGGAGCAGCCCUGCACCCUCACUAGCCAGGGUGUUCAUGACUUCCUCAAGACCAAGGCCACGUUCAAGACUUGGGACUUCAGUGAUGCACUUGUGCUGGGCAAGGUGGCUUCUCCAGUAUCUUAAUUUGGGAGGUAGAAUGCAGCUUGAGAUCAAAUGUCUGAUCAAAGAACUUGAACUUGAGCUGGAGGGCUCUGGGGAGCCAUAGAAGGUGCUGGAUAAAGGAGGGACAGUCAGAUAUAUUUUAGAGAUGACUGUAGAAGGCUGCCUGGAAGGAGUGAACAAGAGCCAGGAGACCCGGGAGGGAGCUUGUGGGGCAGGUCUGGAGAUGGCAAGGGAGGGAUCCUGCUUGGAUGAAAAGUCUUCAGGGACUGUCUCAGGUUACACUCAGGUGCCCUCAGAGCUAAUGUGUUCAGAGGUCUUGUCUCCAGGAUGAAAAUGGGAAGGAGUUGUCAGAUGAGGACAUAUAAAUGGAGGCUGGCAUCUUCAUGAGAUAUGACAGCACAGCCACUGGCCUCUACUGAAUCCUAUGCAACCUCAGAAGACACCCAGGAGUGAUGCCAUCAUGUGGUGCAAGAGUUCUGAGGGACCACAAUCCUGAAGACAUUGAAUGGCUGUGUUCCUGCUCAUUGCUGGAGGUACUGUCAGGGUCCCUGUCCUCAACCCCUGGUCUGACACUUGCAGAUCAGGCAGGACAUUCUGGAGGAAUCAUGCCCUUGGAAGGAUCCCUGAGGAGUGACUGUUGUUAGAUUAAAAAACAGUGGCAAAGAGCAAUACAGAGAGUUGCCAAAAUUCACACCGCUGGUCCAGGUUUGAAGCAAGCAGUCUGUACCUGCAGUCCUUGUCUGUAACCAUGGCACCCUGGCUUCUCACACAUCUCAUCGUGGAGUUCCACCAUGUGUCAGGCAUGGCACUGAGCACCUUCUUUUAAGAAUAUAAUUUGUAAUUAUGUAGAUUAUUAAUUCUACUUCAAAAUGCCACACAGCCUUCAUGUGAUAAAAUGAAACAAUUGCUCAACUGAUCUCCUGGGAUCUCUACUAAGAUGUUGGCAGCCCGGCCAGCUGGUCUGGCCCUGGACGUGCCUUCAUGGUCUGGUUAUGCUUCAUGACCUGCACUGUGGUCAGUGCCAUUUUGCAGACUCUGAUCACAGUGAAACGUUCCAUGGGAACUUGGGCCAUGAGAAACAUCCUUCCUAACCACGUGACUGCAGAAACAUCCUUAUCGCGUCCUCCUGGGCAAAGGCCCAACAGCCUGACUGCAGGGACAUCCUUGCCAUAUCCUGCUGGGCAGCAAGCUCUACCACCCAGAUCCCUCCCUCCCAGUCCCAUGAUUACCCCAGCCUGUGAGUGGCAGUUGGUGCUGGCACUAAGCUGGUUUCCUCCUCCCCAGGGUUUUGCUGGCAAUAAAGAUGUUGCUGUUGAAGCCA